AGGAGAUCCAGCUCCAGGCGGUCUCCCAGGUGUUUCUGGUCAGGCUUUCUGUUUGGGAUGGCUGGGAGCUACCCUCAGCAGCGGAUGGAACUACAAGUUAGCUUCCUUGAUUGGAUGGUGUGGGAGGGCCAGCUCCAAGUAGUCUCCCUGGUGUUCCUGACAAAGAAGAUGCCUCUCCCAGUCUUUAUGAAUUGGCCUUGUACCAGAGAAGACCCCACCACCAAUCAGCUUGGCUGGAGAUUCUGGGUGGCUAGACUCUGCCAGACUCAUUGGAGCUCCAAGACUAAUAAGAAGAUGGAAGUCCUUUGGGCAGCCCUGGAAAAGUUGUGGCACUGGACACAUAGAUCACCUCUUUCCCUCACCAAGGGGAAGCUGAGAUGAGAGAUUUUUCCUCUAGCCACUUGAUGCUGAGCAGUGGGGAGGAUAUAUGGUGUCUACAAGUCCAAACCAACAUCUUCAUUCUCCCCCUGGUGGCUCAACUGUGCUAGACCUGUCAGAACUCCAUGACAGGCAAGGCAGAAGUCAGUUCUCUAGGGACCUCCCUUGAAAAGUUGGGGUCUUGGACACAUGAUACAACCCUUUCCCUUCCCUGGGAGAAUCUGAGAGCUAGAAGGUCUCUUUCUGAUUGGAAGGUGCUACAGCAGGGGCAGGAACUGCAGCAACAAGGUGUUCCAAAUAUCCCUACUGGCUUAAUUGAGUCUGGUUUUACAUUCAGUUAGGAUGAAGGAUCCUUUCAACUAAUUUCUGGAUUUUUCACAAAGCAAAUUUGUCCAUGGCUUGUUGUUGAAUCAGUGUUUGUACGGGGAUAGAGGGUCUAAGACUUCCUACUCUGCUAUCAUACUGAUGUCACUCUUUUUGGUAUACUUUUUAGUCAUUUUAUUAGUGGUUACCCUGGGAAUUAUAAGAAAUACCUUAAACUUAUAAUCAUCUAGUUUGAAACAAUAUCAACUUUGCUUCAGUAUUAUACAGAAUAUCUGUUCCUAUAUAGAUCUGUUACUUUCCUUUUGUUGUCAAUGUCAAUAAUUACAUCUUUAUACUUUGCCCUUUAACAUAGAUUUAUAAUUAUUGUUUUAUGCAUUUGUAUUUUAAAUCAUAUAGAAAAAAAGGAGAAACAUAAAGUGCAAUAAUACUAGCUUAUAUAUUUACCUGUAUAUUUCCCUUUACCAGUGUUCUUUAUGUCUUCAAAUGGCUUCAAGUUACUGUCUGGUGUCAUUUCAUUUCAGUCUGAAUGACUCCCUUUAGCAUUUCUUGUAGGGUAGGUUUACUAACAGUGAACAAUUUCAGCUUUUGCCUAUCUGGAGUGUCUUAAUUUCUCCUUUUUUUUCAUUGCUGAGGAAGAUUGACCCUGAGCUAAUAUCUGUUACCAAUCCUCCUCUUUUUUGCUUGGGGAAUAUUCACCUUGAGCUAACACCUGUGCCAGUCUUCCUCUAUUUUGUAUGUGGGUCACCCCCAUAGCAUGGGUGAUGAGUGGAGUAG
rnacentral:lncRNA from 1 species